CUCUAGUAUUUAAAUGAAGAUACAUGUAAAAAUUCCAUGGAUGGAGAAGGAGCCUGGUGGGCUGCAGUCCAUGGGGUUGCAAAGAGUCGGAUAGGAUUGAGCAACUAAACAACAACAACGUUUGGUGCUAACUUGCUCUUGCUAUUAAGAAUCUUAAUGAGGAAAGAGGGGUAAAUUAGGAGUUUGGGAAUUUAUAUCUAGUUUAUAUACACUAUUGUAUAUAAAUAGAUAAACAACAAGGUAAUCAUAUCGUGUAAUAAUCUAUAAUGAAAAGUAAUCUGAAAAAGGAUAUAUGUAUAUGUAAUAGCCACUGUAUAUGUAUAUGUAACUAGCCACUCCAGGUGAAAAACAAUUUAUCAAAUCCCUUAUAUGUGAGAGUGAAUUUAUUGGGUACAGGGUGAAAAGAUUUUAUUUUGGAAAGGAGGGAUAAUUUUAGACCGUGAAGCAAGAGAAGAAGCUCUGUUACAUGACACAAUGGCACUGGAACGGACCUUACUUGAGAGGAUAUUAAGGAUGGCAGGGUUGUUUGUCAAAGAAAAAUAAGAAGGAAACAUAAAUUUGCUUUAACUUACAUUGUUGAUUCUAGCCUACCAUGCAAUUAAAAUAGCUCUUACAUUUUAAAGUUACUCAAAAGAUUUCUUUUAAGUUGGUGUAAUUAUUUUAUAUGUAUCAUAAAUAGCAUGUGCUUUAUGAAUCUCAUCCCUUGUGU
rnacentral:lncRNA from 1 species